AUUGAACGCUGGCGGCAGGCCUAACACAUGCAAGUCGAGCGGCAGCGGGAAAGUAGCUUGCUACUUUUGCCGGCGAGCGGCGGACGGGUGAGUAAUGCCUGGGAAAUUGCCCAGUCGAGGGGGAUAACAGUUGGAAACGACUGCUAAUACCGCAUACGCCCUACGGGGGAAAGCAGGGGACCUUCGGGCCUUGCGCGAUUGGAUAUGCCCAGGUGGGAUUAGCUAGUUGGUGAGGUAAUGGCUCACCAAGGCGACGAUCCCUAGCUGGUCUGAGAGGAUGAUCAGCCACACUGGAACUGAGACACGGUCCAGACUCCUACGGGAGGCAGCAGUGGGGAAUAUUGCACAAUGGGGGAAACCCUGAUGCAGCCAUGCCGCGUGUGUGAAGAAGGCCUUCGGGUCGUAAAGCACUUUCAGCGAGGAGGAAAGGUCAGUAGCUAAUACCUGCUGACUGUGACGUUACUCGCAGAAGAAGCACCGGCUAACUCCGUGCCAGCCGCCGCAGUAAAAC
rnacentral:rRNA from 1 species